AAUCAACGCUGGCGGCGUGCCUCAGACAUGCAAGUCGAACGCUGCUGUUCGCCUUCGGGUGGACAGCGGAGUGGCGCACGGGUGAGUAACACGUAGGUAAUCUACCUUUGGGUGGGAAUAACAGCCGGAAACGGCUGCUAAUACCGCAUAAUGCAGCGGCAUCACAUGAUGACAGUUGUUAAAGCGAGGGAUCGUAAGACCUCGCGCCUGAAGAGGAGCCUGCGGCAGAUUAGGUAGUUGGUGAGGUAAUGGCUCACCAAGCCUGCGAUCUGUAACCGGCCUGAGAGGGCGGUCGGUCACACUGACACUGACA
rnacentral:rRNA from 1 species